rnacentral:rRNA from 1 species
UGGGGAAUAUUGCACAAUGGGGGAAACCCUGAUGCAGCGACGCCGCGUGAACGAAGAAGGUAUUCGUAUCGUAAUGUUCUGUCCUAUGGGAAGAUAAUGACAGUACCAUAGAAGAAAGCUCCGGCUAAAUACGUGCCAGCAGCCGCGGUAAUACGUAUGGAGCGAGCGUUUUCCGGAAUUAUUGGGCGUAAAGGGUACGCAGGCGGUUUAAUAAGUCGAAUGUUAAAGAUCGGGGCUCAACCCCGCAAAGCAUUGGAAACUGAUAAACUUGAGUAGUGGACAGGAAAGUGGAAUUCCUAGUGUAGUGGUGAAAUACGUAGAUAUUAGGAGGAAUACCAGUAGCGAAGGCGACUUUCUAGACACAAACUGACGCUGAGGUACGAAAGCGUGGAGAGCAAACAGG